UACGGAGGGUGCAAGCGUUGCUCGGAAUUAUUGGGCGUAAAGGGUAGGUAGGUGGUCUCGUUUGUCUGGGGUGAAAGCCUUGGGCUUAACUCAAGAAGUGCCCCAGAAACGGCGAGACUAGAGUACUGGAGAGGGUCGUGGAAUUCCCGGUGUAGCGGUGAAAUGCGUAGAGAUCGGGAGGAACACCAGCGGCGAAGGCGGCGACCUGGACAGUUACUGACACUCAACUACGAAAGCGUGGGGAGCAAACAGG
rnacentral:rRNA from 1 species